AAUUCGAUUGAGUUUGAUCCUGGCUCAGGACGAACGCUGGCAGCGUGCUUAACACAUGCAAGUGGAGCGACGAACCGGGGCUUGCCCCGGGGCAGAGCCGCGAACGGGUGAGUAACACGUGGGUUACCUACCCCAAUGACCGGGACAACCCGAGGAAACUCGGGCUAAUACCGGAUGUGGUCUUCGGACGAAAGGAAGCUUCGGCCUCCGCAUUGGGAUGGGCCCGCGGCGCAUUAGCUUGUUGGUGGGGUAACGGCCUACCAAGGCGACGAUGCGUAGCUGGUCUGAGAGGACGAUCAGCCACACUGGGACUGAGACACGGCCCAGACUCCUACGGGAGGCAGCAGUGGGGAAUCCUGCGCAAUGCGCGAAAGCGUGACGCAGCAACGCCGCGUGGGGGAAGAAGGCCUUCGGGUUGUAAACCUCUUUCAGUUGGGACGAAGCCUCGCGCGUUAAUAGCCCGUUGAGGUGACGGUACCUUCAGAAGAAGCCCCGGCUAACUACGUGCCAGCAGCCGCGGUAAUACGUAGGGGGCAAGCGUUGUCCGGAAUCAUUGGGCGUAAAGAGCGUGUAGGCGGCCCGAUAAGUCCGCUGUGAAAGUCCAGGGCUCAACCCUGGAAUGCCGGUGGAUACUGUCGGGCUCGAAUCCGGAAGAGGUGAGUGGAAUUCCUGGUGUAGCGGUGAAAUGCGCAGAUAUCAGGAGGAACACCAAUGGCGAA
rnacentral:rRNA from 1 species